rnacentral:rRNA from 1 species
CCAGCAGCUGCGGUAAUUCCAGCUCCAAUAGCGUAUAUUAAAGUUGUUGCAGUUAAAAAGCUCGUAGUCUGAAUCUUGGUUGGUGUUGAGCGUCCGUGGCUUCGGUCACGUGCACGUAACACACUGGCCAUAUCCUUCGGAGGAACAUGGGUGCUUUUCAUUAAGUGCUCAUGGGAUUCCGAUAGUUUACUUUGAGAAAAAUAGAGUGUUCAAAGCAGGCGUUUUUGCCUUGAAUGUAUUAGCAUGGGAUAAUGGAAUAGGACAUUGGCCUUGUGUUUUCAUCGCACGCCGACUUUUUUUAUAUCUUUGAUUAGGGGUUCGAGGGCCGAUGUAAUGGUCAACAGGAACAGUUGGGGAUAUUCAUACUCCAUGGCUAGAGGUGAAAUUCUUGGAUUCAUGGAAGAUGAACCAGUGCGAAAGCAUUUGUCAAAGAUGUUUUCAUUGAUCAAGAACGAAAGU